AUGAACGCUGGCGGCGUGCCUAAUACAUGCAAGUCGAGCGAACGGACGAGAAGCUUGCUUCUCUGAUGUUAGCGGCGGACGGGUGAGUAACACGUGGAUAACCUACCUAUAAGACUGGGAUAACUUCGGGAAACCGGAGCUAAUAUCGGAUAAUAUUUUGAACCGCAUGGUUCAAAAGUGAAAGACGGUCUUGCUGUCACUUAUAGAUGGAUCCGCGCUGCAUUAGCUAGUUGGUAAGGUAACGGCUUACCAAGGCAACGAUGCAUAGCCGACCUGAGAGGGUGAUCGGCCACACUGGAACUGAGACACGGUCCAGACUCCUACGGGAGGCAGCAGUAGGGAAUCUUCCGCAAUGGGCGAAAGCCUGACGGAGCAACGCCGCGUGAGUGAUGAAGGUCUUCGGAUCGUAAAACUCUGUUAUUAGGGAAGAACAUAUGUGUAAGUAACUGUGCACAUCUUGACGGUACCUAAUCAGAAAGCCACGGCUAACUACGU
rnacentral:rRNA from 1 species